AGGGCUGUAGCUCAGUGGCAAAGCGCUCAUCUAGCACAUGUGAGGCCCUGGGUUCAAUCCUCAGCACCACAU
rnacentral:tRNA from 1 species